ACUCCUAUCUUAAAAACAACGCUCUUGUAUAUUGCAUGAUUGAUCUGUUUGAAAUUACUUUUUUUUUUCUUUACUGCGGUGGCCCUCAGUGAGCCUGUGUUAGUUUUUACUAUCUUAACCACUUCAAAAAGUUGCAAAGGAAACAAUAGUUUAAUUUAUAUAGCCUAAUCUCGAGCAUGAUUAUUAAUAACGAGUGAAAACAGCAGAUUCGGUUUUUAUUAAUUCUUAUAACAGCAAGGUUAAAGCGCGAGAAACAAAUGUUGAACAGGGACGCUUGCAUCCACGCAGACCUCUUGCAUGUGUGUUGCGUAGCUGGAGGGAUUUACGGGGACUUAAUUCCUUAAAACUGUCCUCUCGUCCACAUGACGCUCAAACUGCAAGUGCUCAAGCUGAUCUAUCCUAAUGUAUCAAGAGAUGAGUGCGUCGCAUUGCCAUGGGGCUAGAUUAGGGCCUGUUAUAAGACAUGUAGAAUACACGUGGAACCAGUGUGGAGAAGCGCAACGAGGAGGUGAAUUGUGCACCUUUAAAAAUGUUAAAAACAACAUGUUGCCAAUAUUCACUUCGAGAAUUCUCUUUCGGGAUUCAUCUGUGUGGGAGGAAAGCCGACUGUAUCAUAACAGCUUAAGUCUACACAUUUUAAGAUAUCUUGAGAAGAGGAGAAGCUGACGGAUGACUCGAGAUGCACGGACAAAUACACGACGAUGCAGAAAACAACAACAACACAACAAAACUUUUACACUUCCAGACCGGAUGGAAAGCUUCAGCUGUGCACCUGCUAUCGUGGAAUGCUCUGGAGAUGAUGACAGCCACCAUUAGCCUGGUCCAGAGGUUUUGCAAGCACUGGUGGACAAAAGCAAAAUGGAUGUUAUGUGAAUGUUUGGAGCAGCUCAGUAGGAUCAGUUUCUUCAGUUUUAUUAAACAACUGAAGAUUGGAACUUUUUUAGGUUGUUUUCCAAUGUUGCAGUUACUCUGAAAGUGUUUGAUUGAUAAAAAAGGACUUUGUUGAUAGCCUACAUUUAAAUGAAUGUUUGACUUAACUAUAUCCUCCGGUAUUACAUAGGCCUAUAUUGUGAUUUUUGUUUUUCAUUUUAAGGUUCUAAAUUUAGAGAUCCGACAAGGCUGAAUGGACAUAAUUUAUCAUGAUACAUUACAAAUGAACUUGCGUUAAAAUUUUCCUAAAUGUUUCUCUGAUUUGACAUAAUUGUGACAGUGUUUAAAAGCGAUAACAGAGUCAAUUUUGAUGAGAGGAAUGCAUAUUUGCACAAAGUAAUUACUAUGAAUAAAAGAGCUUGUUUGA